UUUUUAUUGGAUAAUGAUGAUCACAUGUCAUGUUCUAAUUGAAUUUUAACUCCAUGAAAGAUAAAAUAUAUUAUUGUUGUCAUUAGUUGACCAGAACAUCACACUUGUCAAUCAUCAUGA
rfam:Glycine soja cultivar W05 scaffold2723_11, whole genome shotgun sequence.